rnacentral:tRNA from 1 species
AGUUACUUAGCUUAUAUAAAGCAUUUACUUUGAAAGUAAAAGAAAGAAAAGAAUUUAGUAACUU